CAAAGCUCAACUUAAUAAUACCUUAUUAUCCUAAUAAAAAAUCUAAAUUUACAAAAUAUAUCAAGUCGAUCUAUAUAAUAGAUGAGUUUAUACUAGAAUGAGUAAUAAGAACUUCCUCUCUUUAUAUGCAUGUGUAAAUCAGAACGAAAAAAUCACUGAUAAUUAACGAUUAACAAUACCACACAACAAGAUAAAUAAAUUUAAUUUAUCGUUAACCCAACACAGGAGCAUAAAAGAAAGAUUAAAAGAUUAAAAAGGAACUCGGCAAUCAGGAACUUCGCCUGUUUACCAAAAACAUCGCCUCUUGCAAUAUAAAGUAUAAGAGGUCCCGCCUGCCCANNGACAAUUUCAACGGCCGCGNUAUC
rnacentral:rRNA from 1 species